rnacentral:pre_miRNA from 1 species
GGCCUACUCCCUCCGUCCAGAAAUACUUGUCAUCGAAAUGAAUAAAAGGGGAUGUAUCUAGAUGUAUUUUAGUUCUAGAUACAUCUCUUUUUGUCCAUUUUAAUGACAAGUAUUUUCGGACGGAGGGAGUACUAU